rnacentral:rRNA from 1 species
GUCCACGCAGUAAACGAUGGAUACCAUCUUUUGGCAAUUAUGCUGAGAGGACAAUCGAAAGAGAUAAGUAUCCCACCUGGGGAGUACGUGCGCAAGCAUGAAACUCAAAGGAAUUGACGGGGGCCCGCACAAGCGGUGGAGCAUGUGGUUUAAUUCGAUGAUACGCGAGGAACCUUACCAGGGUUUAAAUGGGUCCUGAAUAAUUUGGAAACAGAUUAGCCGCAAGGCAGGAUUCAAGGUGCUGCAUGGUUGUCGU